rnacentral:rRNA from 1 species
GAUCCUGGCUCAGGAUGAACGCUAGCUACAGGCUUAACACAUGCAAGUCGAGGGGCAGCAUUGUCUUAGCUUGCUAAGGCCGAUGGCUACCGGCGCACGGGUGAGUAACACGUAUCCAACCUGCCGUCUACUCUUGGACAGCCUUCUUAAAGGAAGAUUAAUACAAGAUGGCAUCAUGAGUUCGCAUGUUCACAUGAUUAAAGGUAUUCCGGUAGACGAUGGGGAUGCG